AGCAGUAUGGUGUAUUGUGCACCCUGGGUUCUCUUAGCUGGAAUCGAGUCAGGAUUAUCCCCGAGGUCCUCGUUCGAAUCGAGGUGCUGCUG